GCAACUUCAUUCAUAAUUUCCAAAAUAUUACAAGUUUAUAGAUUCAUUAAGAACAUGUUUAGCAAAUACCAACAUUUCUAGUUCAGUUCCCAAUAUCAAGCACCACCCACAACUAGUCUACACAACCUCUAAAUACAACUGGAGAGUAAUAUGGAAAUACCAUCAAUAAGGCUCUGGUUAUACCUCAAAAUACAAAGUACAUGAGAAACACAAGAUACAGGAUCCCGAAAUGAAGUAGGGCUCACCAAGUCAGCUGGAAAGAGUGCACCGCUAUCACUGAUCGAUGCCGCCUACAAUGGGACCACCUAUAUCAAUUAAAGAUACAGCACCCCUGGUAAAAGAGAUGCUAGUGCCGUUGAAUAGCACUAAUAUGUAUAGCUAGAAGUCCUCAUACAAAAUAGAAUAACCACAUAAAAAAGGAAAUCAUAGUACGUCAAACUGCUAUAAAAUGUCCCAUAGAUUUACAUUUCAGGUAUUUAUUAUACUUACCUCACUUUGAACUUCAUUGGGGUCAAUUCAACCAUAUGAACUAUACGUGGGAUACAAAAUAUAAUGUAAUCAUAACAACAUGUAUAAGAAAGGGAAAUGAAAUAAAAACCACCUACCGUUUGUGUAAAAUAGGCAUCUCACUAAACCGUUCGGCCCUUUCUUAUUAUGCACAUAUACGUUUUAUAGACCAUUUGUAAGGUUCACAUAUUAUAUUAUACACCUAUGCGUUUCAUAUCCCAUUAGGGUUCACAUAUCAUAUUAUACACCUAUGCGUUUCAUAGCCCGUUAUAGGGUUCACAUAUUAAAUUAUACACCUAUGCAUUUCAUAGCCCGUCCAUAGGGUUCACAUAUUAUAUUAUACACCUACGCAUUUCAUUGUUCGUCCAUAGGGUUAGCAUAUUAUAUUAUACAUCUAUGCAUUUCAUAGCCCAUCCAUAGGGUUCACAUAUUAUAUUAUACACCUAUGCGUUUCAUAGUCCGUCCAUAGGGUUCACAUAUUAUAUUAUACACCUAUGUGUUUCAUAGCCCAUCCAUAGUGUUCACAUAUUAUACACUAUAAACCUUUUAUAUUGUACUUAGUUUCAUUUGUACCUUUAGCUACUCACAACAUCAUUAAUUUAUUUGCUCUUUUGGCCAUUCAUACGAUUCUUUUUUCAUGGCACAAUGACCGUAUUUCAUAUUCCACACUUUAAUUUCUUUCCUCUCAUGGAUCGUCAUCAUAAUUUUCAACAUAUAUAAUAUAUUUCAGAAAUCACAACCUUAAGUUCAUUAGAAAUGAAGACUUAAACACAAUAGAUUUCUUUCCAAUAAAUAGAGUAAAAUGAUUAGCAAUCAAAGCACAAGUUAAAAUCAUAGACAAGUAACACCAUUUAAUUCUUGAACUACUUUCCCCCAAGAGGGCGACACACAAUUUCAACUCAUGAAUAUGUAAGAGCUCAAAACACGUUGGGAAAACUUACAAGAUUUAUCAUUAGUUAACACAACCACAAUUUUGGGCAUGACUUGAGUAUAUAAGAUUUUAGGCAAAUCCACAUCCGAAAUCAUUUAUAAACACUUGAAUCAAGGCUUACUCUAUAACCUUUCUCACAUUAAUCAUUUCAUUUCAUCGGCACCGUUGGCCACCCUCCAUAUCCACAAUUCACUUAUUUAACUUCCAAACAACUUUAUAUUUUAACACCAAUACAUUUCCAAUCAAGACUUUAGGUAUACAUAUGAGCAAUUAUGAGUCUUAAGCAUAUCAAAUUUUCUCACACAAUUUGGCAUACUAGCCUUUAUUUGAAACACGACGCAAAGCCGUAACAUUUUAAUACACAAUCCAUACUUUGAUCAUAUAUCUUCAUUCAUAAGGAUAAUUUGGAAUAGUCAAGUUUAUAGGUAAUAACCCGGAAUAUAGAAAUUAGGAAUUUUGAGCCAACCAAACUUGAACUUAUGGAAACAUUUAUGGAAUUCGAUUCUAAGAGAGAAAGUUUAGCCAACAUACCUUGUUUAAGACUUCCUUAAGUUACUACAACGUUCAGGAAAUUCUAGAAAUCCCAAACUACUUUGAGACAUAACAAAAUUGAACACAAAUUAGGGAGAUAUUCAUGGUUUCAUCUCAUUUGAGAUUUUUAUCAAACACUAGUUGUGCAUCUUGAUUUCAAAGCUCUUCUACAAGAUUUCCUUCAUUCCCCAACACAAUCUUUACCUAUUUGUGUUCAACAAUCUUCCCACAAAUAUAAUUUGUACAUGCAUGCAUAGAUAAUACUAUUACACCCAAGAAUCAUACCUCAAUAACCUAUCUUAUACCCAAAACUCAAAAUUAAAGUCUAGUGUAUAGAACCUUACCUCUUAGAUGAAGAUCUUGUGAUUGGUUUCCUUGAUUAUUGAAGAUUGAUGAAAGAUUGAAUGGUUAUAAUGUUAGGCUUCUUCCUUCUCGCUCUAAAAUGCUCUCACCUCUCUCUAGAUUUAGUAUAAAUUAGCCGCAAAUGAAGCCCCAAAGUUUAUUUAUCAAUGUGUUUUCGGACAUGAAAAUUUCAAAAAAUAAACCCCGAAGUCAAUUAUGUGGUGCAAUUAUGCUAUAGCAUAAUCGAUAUGUGGGCAACAGACUUGCAACAUAAUCAUUAUGUGAUAGCAUAAUCGACAACUUAAUCAAUUAUGCGACAGCAUAAUCAAUAUGUGAUAACAUAAUAUUUUUGCCCGCCUCUGCUUCACUAUACUUCACUAUGACUUAUACAUUUAUUUACCAAAUCCAAUUGAUGUCCAUCAUGUUAAUAGCACGUAAAAUAUUAUAAUUAGCCUACCUAGCACCAUGAAAUCCUAAAUUACUUAGCGAAAUUUUCUGGGGCCUUACAAUUCUACAAAGCAUGAAAAUUUCCAAAAAUAAACCCCGGAGUCAAUUAUGUGGUGCAAUUAUGCUAUAGCAUAAUUGAUAUGUGGGCAGCAGACUUGCAACAUAAUCAUUAUGUGAUAGCAUAAUCGACAACAUAAUCAAUUAUGCGACAGCAUAAUCAAUAUGCGAUAACAUAAUAUUUUUGCCCGCCUCUGCUUCACUAUACUUCACUAUGACUUAUACAUUUAUUUACCAAAUCCAAUUGAUGUCCAUCAUGUUAAUAGCACGUAAAAUAUUAUAAUUAGCCUACCUAGCACCAUGAAAUCCUAAAUUACUUAGCGAAAUUUUCCGGGGCCUUACAAUUCUAUAAAGCGUAACAUCAUUGUAAUGAAAUACUGCAAGGUGUAACAUCAUUCCCCCUUUGGAAUAUUCGUCCUCGAAUGUUGGCUGAUGCUUUUAUCAUUUUCAUAAUUUAUAGCUCCUGUGAAUACCUCAAUACUCUCCUUUCCAUUUAGGCAGUUGUUCUGUAAAUAAAUCCAAAGGCCAGGGCAUUCCCACCUUUGGGCCUCUUUCCUACACCAUGACUUGUGAUCGAAUUCCUUUAAAUCUCAUAACUGUUGAUAUCUUCUAUCAUGUAGUCUGUAUGACAUUUUCCCUGUAAGUGCGCCUACAUGACUCUUUUGUCCUUUUUUUCCUCAAGCUUUUUGCCAAUCUCUAGGCCUCACUUUGUAAACAUAUAUAGAGCUUAAUAAGAUGUCCUUCUGGGCAUCUAUAAGCAUACUGAAGUUCUUCCCUCGGUACUUUGUCGAACAUACGAAUAAUGUUAUAUCUUAUUUCAUAGAACUGGUUAUCCAUCUGUAUGACUUUACUGCAUCAAGGUAGGUCAUAUUAUACUAUAACUCUUACUUCGUAUUAUCGUUACUCAGGUCUGCUACAAAACUUCAAGCUACUUUUAUUGCUCCUUAUCAUAGAUGUAUAAUCUAUGUCCUUUAAUACUUCUUUAUUACUAUUCAUCUUAAGAAUGACGGCCUAAUCUUACCUCAUACUUGGUGACUAUUUGUCCAUCCAUUGUCGAUUCACCUUAAUAUUGAUGUAUCAUCUAUCACUGAUAACUUGAUCUCUUAUUUAACAUUUCUACUAGGGGUUACGUCUCAUCGUGUCAUUUGAAGUGAUUGUCUUGAUCCACCUGGGGGCGAUACGAUACUAUACUUCCAUAAUCGUAUUUCAUAGCAUUACAAUGUGAUUUACCUUACAUGGUUAUUUAAUUCCUGUACAAUUCAUGAAAUCAUUACUUAAUCGAAGGCCCAAACGUCAUCCUUCAUCUAUCACAGUUACACCUUCAUUCUAUUGCCAGGGUAGCAUUCUAUCUCUUCCAAAGGCCACUAGUCUUAGACUCAUUUAGGCAAUACUGAACUUUUUAUAACUUAGAGAAACCAUCAGCUCUCUGGUUUUCAUGUAUUUAGUCAUGAGGUCUUAUGCCUUCUCAUCACCUUCUCACUUGCCCUUUCUUAUCCUUACUCCUAUCUUCUUAAAACCUUGUUGCUUUACCAUACUUUAGCUUGCGACCUACAUAUUCAUUUAUACUACUUGCAACCUUUCUUCAACUUGCUUGCACCAUAGAUUUCCUUAUGUUAUUCUGGAACAUCAAGCAAGACAUCACAUCAUCUCAAACUCUUCUUUUACUUUCUUAACUAGAUCUCUCGAUACCUAGAAACCAUAGGCUGAAAGAUAUGCUACUGACAAUGCUGCUAUCAUUCCUGGAUAUUGAAUCCCCACACUUUUAGCUUUUAAUCCAAAGUAUGGACUAUUCACAACCUUCUGCAUUUUAGUAUUUCGUACGUUGUUCACCUUUACUUACAACCUUAAAAUCUUGCAUCGUACCUUCUAUCUCUUUCAUGAACACCUUUCUACAUAAGUAUAAUUUAUGUCUAUAACUUGAAGCUCUAUUAUAAUACUUGCACCUCUGGUGCAUACACUAUCCGGUGAGCUCCGUACUGACUCCUUAUGAGGCUGUUACUUUUCCAACUAGCUUUAGCAUAGGGACAUUAUAUAAUAUGGCUAUUGUACUUUCUCUUUUGUAUCUCUGAAUUAAGAGUGAUCCUGCAAUGUUCUCAAUCAUGAUGUUCAUAAUUUCUUGGGUCCAAUAAUCAAUCUACUAAUUUACUUAGUUGAUGUAUCUCCUUAGUUUCCUCUUUCCUAUAGUCAAUCUUUAUGUAGGCUUAAACUACUAUCCGAUCUUUGGCUCCUGGUAUUAGUUAUCACUUUAGCCUUUCAUGGGCAUUAUGGAAUAUCCAUGAUACAAUCUUCUAACGACUCAAUCAUUUGUCUAUGCCCUGGGUUCAAUUCUUUCUUUUUAACUUAUACCGGAGUCUUCUAUGUCUGUAUGAUUGUCAACAUAUAAAACUUUAAACUCUUAAGUGCGUUUAUAACGUAACUAACUCUGGAUUAAUAAUGGAAUGAUUAUUUCCGUUCCUUCUUAGCUUUCUUUAAAUGUAAGCUAUUACUUUUCCUAGUCUUUCUACCCCCUUGUUGCGUCCAUACUUAGCUUAUCUUAGUGUCCAUAUUUGCCAGAGUUUUUAUACAACUCAUAUGAUAUCAAAUAUUACUUUUAAUUUUACUUCACUUCCAUUAGCCAUGGUAGGAGCCACUUUCCUUUGGAGUGCUUACAACGUUGUUAUGAGAUUGUUGUUACAUGUCCAUUUCCUUUUUAGGUCGUUGUGCUUAGGUUGAAGCCUUCUUCCUUACCUUCUCAGCUAGUAUUUCGUUGCAGUACUUAGGGAGAACCCUUGAUUCGUGUAAAGCUGUGAGCUCAUUACGGACUUUUUUGAUGUCCUUCCUUGCCUAUAAUCAUCGGUAGUUGCUUACCUCCAUGCCCUUGUGCUUGUAGGGUUGCUUCUGAACUGCUGUUUUGAUUUCCUUCCCAGUGGCACUUUCUUUUAUCCUCGUAAUACUCAUAAGGUACGUUUAACUACCCCGACUCCUAUUUGAAUAUAUCUCAAGUAUUACAAUGUUAUAACUGCGGGGCUGAAUUCACUAUAAUGGGUUGUACUAUAUUUAUAUUGCACAACUUGCUGAUUUGUCUGUAUCUUCUUGACUAGCCACAACUAGACUCUUCCUGAAUAAACUACUAAGUACUCGUUGGCCCAUUCUCAUGUCAUUACUCCACAUAAUCUUUCUGGGGUUAUUCCCUUUGUCUUUACUUAUAUCUUGCGCUGGCUCUUUAUUUUCAACAACAUCCCGGUCGAAACCCUUACUUCCUCUCCUUGACGUCAUGUUUGCAUAAUGUUCUGGAAUCAUAGCAUAUUUGUAGGAUUUGAAUAAGUGCAAUCUUAUCCCUUUCUCAUUUUUAUCGCAUUCUUCCUUUACCAUUCCAUAAUUACUAGAACCACUUAGUUCUGACUUAACGCCAAACACUCCAUAUUCCCCCCUUUAGGGAAGUACUCAGAUUUAGUGCUACGAUGAUCUAUGUAUAAAUGUUUUACCUCUUCACAUUUGGUGUCUUUUCACAUCAUUGAUGACCCUUACUCGCCUUGUGGUAAUCCUUCUGUACCAAGGAUAACAAAUUUCCUUACUCGCGAGGGUGACACUUCAUGUAACUGGCACAUACAGUCCCUUAAGCUUAACUUUGCUCAUAUUGCUUGCUUUAGGGAAGUGUCUUUCUAAAUGAUCAUUUUCUGAAUUUCUCAUGAAUCUUAUUCUAUUAUCCAUUCUAUUAUUGCCGGAACGCAAUGUGAAAUUCUCGUGAUGCCAACCAUUAUCAAAUCACUCAGUCCCUAAUUCAUGUUUAGUUUAUCUUGUUUAGCAAUCCAUACUAAUUUCUAUUACUUUGAGGUAUAACUUUUCCUUCUGUAAUUAUGUUAGAGUCACCAACUUAUUUUUCGAAAUGAGGAUGUCACUUCAUGACCUAUACUCUUUUGUUGCCUCAAGGCCUGUUACCUCUUGUAUUUGCUUUCCUUGUUUAUGGAUUCUAUAAUACUGUCAUCCUUUUGAUCUAACGUUGUCAUCCAUGUAUCACAUCUUACUCAUAAUGCUUUACUAACUCUCUUCUUAUUUUUCUGCUAACAUUUCUGUCUAUCACCUUAUUCUGAAAACUUUAACAAGACAUUCUUUUGGUUUUAGCUCCCUUUUGCUCCAUCCACUGGAUCUUCGAGCUGCCUAACAUUCUCUCUCUAAUAGGGGCGGGAGACACAAUAAGAUAAUAUUUAUCCCUUCCAGGCUUCCAGUGCCUAUCAUUGUAGUACUCAUAUAUUGUUGUACUAUUUUAGAGUGCACCAUCUGGGUGUCUCACAAGGAGAUCUAUUACCACAUUUUCAAUAUCCUUCGGAAAUGUCAACUAACACAAAUAAUCCAUUCACCAUUUUGGGUUACUCUAACCCCAAGCGGAUCCUGAUAUCUCGUCCUUUUGUUAAACUAAAAAUGCUUAUAUUGCUCUAGCUGAAUUGUAAAUACUGAUAAUCUUCAUUAACUGGGCACCUCGUACCCUUUUUUAUCUUGCUUCUUUUACUUGUUGAAACAUGUAUCUAUCUUCUGAAUCUCUCAUUCCUUAACGUAAUAGUGGAUAGACAUUCUUACCAUAGGGAUCCUUAUUAAGAAGCUUGCAAGUCUUAUUGCGCACAUGCCCUACUGAAAGCUUUACAUUUACUCAUCAUAAGCAUUAUGCAAAAUCGAGUUCCUCCGACUGAAUUCUUCCACUGAUAUAUCUCUUACGAACCGUCUUUUCGGAUGUAGGUAUCGCCGUAUUAUGAAUAAGAUAGUGUUUAGGAAACUGGGUUCUUACAACGAAGCUCUACCACACGAUCUAGAGUAAGAAGAAUAAGUGACAGUCCUAAAUGCCUUGUAGCCUCCUGCUUAUAAGUGUGGUGCACGACACACCCAUAAACAAGACUAUACUAGACACGACUUGUAGACUCCCUAGGACAGAACUACUCUGAUACCACUUUUGCCACGACCCAAAUCGAUGGGCCACGACGGGCACCUAGUACCUUACUCAACCGAGUACCAACAUAGCGUAUCUUUUCGUAUCAUACUAUCAUAUAUAAGUGAGCUGGAGAGGCUGCCAUGAAAUAGGUAGAAUACAACAUGUAAUACCAACUUAUACAUAAGACAUAUGGGCCUCUAAGACCAAAAUAACCACUCGUACACUAAGCAUAGGCCGACAAGGCCAUUCAAUCUUUUACGUACAUGAUAUUUGUCUACAAUACUCUAAGUAUACAUAAUUGUCAUAAAGGUCGGGACAGAGUCUCGCCAUACCGAACAAUAUACAUCUAAAUAAUAUUGACCAAACAAGCAACUCUGGAGCAAAUGGAGUGCACCAAGAUCUUCCACUAAGCUAAUCGCCUACAUAGAGGACUCUCGACCUGUCUAUCGAGACCUACGAGCAUGAAAUGCAGCGUCCCCAGAAAAAAGAGACGUCAGUACAAAUAACAUACCGAGUAUGUAAGGAAUGAAAAUGAGUAAAUAAUAGACAUCAGAGAAAUAUGGAGUACAAAACUUGACAUGUAUGUCUGCAUAGCUCUGUGAAUCAUUUCAUUUUUAUGAUAUUAUGCAUAUGCAUAUAAAUGUCAGGCCAUGCAUAGGAAUAUGCGUUCAUAACAUCAUCAAGCCUCUGAGGUCAUUCAUCGUAUCAUUUCGAUCACUGUGGGCAAAUUAUAAACCUAUACCAACUGAUCAAGUGGUGGUGCGUAUAUAAUACCAAAACCUUUUCCCAUAGCCCAUAUACACAUAUACGCGUACAUAAUGCCAUCUAGUCAUGGGUCAAUGUGCAUGUAUAAAUGCAUGAAAUGCAUAUGAAAUAUGUUAAUAAAAUCCCUCGGUACGUCAUAAGGCCAUUAUGCCUCUGAUUAAUAUCAUAAAAUAAACUUUAUCAACUUACGUAUUUUCUGAGACCCAUGAAUAGAUGAUAGAAUAAUAGGACACAUGGAGAAUCAAGAACAUAUGCACCUCUAAUAUUUCUAUGAAUAAAGUUAUUUUUGGAAGUUGUGCAUUUACUCGUUUAGUAUGUGUCGUAUAUAUCAUGCCAAAAGAAAUAAGGGAUAGCCUUAACAUACCUGAGCUGGUUCUCUUAACAAUUACUCUAACAUCGUUGAUUGCGAUAACACGUAACGGCGAAUUGAAGUAGGGAAAAAUUCGUAUGAUAUUGUUGAGAAAGAUUACACCGUACUCCCUUAAAAUAGUAAAAUCCCAUUGUCACACCUCCUUUUUCUACCCCGAAAGAGGUAUAGGGGAGUUUUUCCAAUUAGAUUGACAAAAAUCGAAAUAGGAUUAUUUAUUCAAAUUAAGAGUCGCCAAUUGGGAUAUUUUUUGGUGUCCCAAGACACCGGUUUAUAAUAUCGAGUCGAGGAAGUUUGACUCUGUUUUACAGUUCGCAGAAGAUAGAAAUCUGGGCAAGGAAUUUUGUUAAUCCGGGAGAAGGUGUUAGGCAUUCCUGGGUUCUGUGGUUUUAGCACAGUCGCUCAACUAUUAUUUUUUGGCUUAAUUAUCUGAUUAAUUACAUAUUUUAAACCUAUUGUGUAUUUUUACCCGUUUACUGCUUUUAAUUGUUUAUGGAAUUAUUCUAGAACAAGUUACAGUUGUUGUACACCUGUUUGUUUGGUACACAUUGCGAAUCGUAUCACGGUAACCGUACCCACAAUUUACACCAUAAUUAAAUUAUUAACAAUAUUAGUUGUUAUGGCCGGGUCAUAUAAAUGUACCCCCGGAUUUGGAAAUUAUGUACCAUAACAACGUCACAGGAACAGUAUCAAUAGCUAUGAUAAUUUUAUUAUAAACGCGCCUAAAGUGAACUACGAAUGUUCAAAGUUUUUCUACACUAGUUACGAAUGUUUUAAGUUUUUCCAUACUAGUUUUUGCAUUAAUAUAAAGGCCAUAGAUAGGUAUUCAUUUAUGAAUGAUAUGCCUCGAUUUAUUUCAAAAAAGAUUCAUACUCAACUACAGCAAACUAAGAAUUUUUAUAUUUAAAACUAAUUUGAAAUUAGCUAUCACAACUACGCUACGGGAACCGUACCCGUAGUUGUGGUGAUUCAAUUACGUGCUGAAAGCAAACUACGAAAGUUCAUACUUACCUCCUAAAUUAAUUCGCGGUUUAUUGACAGGCCACAUAUUAUAACUAAGGAGUCCAAAGUUGUGCAUGCUUUUAACCAUUGAAAUAUUGGGCCAUCAAGAGGCCUGUUAUAUAUGCAAAUCUUUGAGGAAGAUACGGGUUGCGGAUUUGGGCUCGAAAUUGAGCCCAAAAGUUAAAGAAAUCGGGAGCCAAAACCCAUUGAGCCUGGCUCCAAACACGCUGUCUCAUCUGGGCCAGAAAUGGGCCCAGUUUUUCCCAGCAUGAGAGCCUUUGAUAUUAAGGCCCACUUGAGACUUAACCUCUUCUAAAUCACAUGUAACACAAAAUGUUAUAAAAUUUUUGGAGAAAAAAAUCAAAGGCUGACCAAACAUAUUUUGCAUCUAAUUUAUCACAUGCCAUUAGUAACAAUAUAAAACUACUUAACCCAAAUUACCAAUUAAUUACAUUGAAAAAAUGUGGGUAAUUACUUCACUUGCAACCAGAGGUUCAAAUAUCACGUGACAAUUUAACAUUGAAUAUCCUUUGGAAUUGUAUGGGCUUAGACCCAAUUUACCAGAGACAAUGCACUAAUAUGAAAAAUGCCCAUGCCUUAUUAUCAAAUACUACAGUUGAACAAACUAAAUGCAAUGAAUUAAAACAUGGCCUUCGGAAGAAAGCUAAUCUCCAUAUAGCAAGGCAAUUUUGGAAAGGUGUGUGCGUAACAAACUGUCACAAAAGGAGUAGAAUCAUUUCCAUACAACUUGAUGUUUUCCUAAACCAUUAACCAACCCCUAAACCUUAUGACUCAUGCUAAGUAAAGCAGAAUGGACAUAGAAGGGACUAAAAGUGGAUCCUUAGGUCAGUAAUACACACAGUUCGUACGCAACACAAGGAUGAGGCAAAAAUCAGUGGAUACCAGGUUCUUUAUUUAAUGUUCUCAUAACUUCAAAUGUUAAACAGAGACAGAAUUUAGGAUAGAUUUAAACUUAUCUAGGUUGAACUUAAGACCAAAAUGAAUCCAAAAUAGCAGUUCCAGAACUUAACAGAACAAGGGAGCACAUGUCCACAACCAAACUUUCACUUAAAAUUCAACAAAACAAAAGAAAACUUAACAAAAAUAUUACAGGUGCACACUUAACAAAUUCAUCCUAUAUUACUAUUCAAACAGGGCUGAAUGAAAUCGCUAUACACGCCUCAGACGUUAAACAGAAUUGCAGAGAAGAUGAAGUGUAAGAAAGAAGCCACAGUCACAUGAAUCUUAUGUACCAAACACGAAUCUUCAUCUACUAGUAAAAGACAACACAUGAUAUUAACUAACCAAGAAAAGAGUUACAUGAGUUAACAAAACAUAAGGGCUAAUUACUGAUGACAUUGCUGUAUUAGUCUCAAAACAUUCAUAUCAUCACAUUUAACUUGCAGCUCAAGGUUUCAAGGUGGUACCUGGAUACAACAAGCACAACAAGAAAGUAUGUUUAGAAAUCAACAAGGUGUGAUGGACUCAGCAGCAAGGAACAACAGUAAUAAUCAAACCAACUCCAUUAUCAAAUCAUAGCUCAACUAAAGAACCCAAAAAAUCAAAAAGAAAAUGUUUUCCCAAACUUUGUAAAGAGUUAGUAAGUAGAGAAUUGAGCUGGAUUUUUUGAGAGGUUUUUAGAGUCUGUUCUCCGCCCCUUCAGUGAGGGGAAAGUUCUACGUAUAUAGGAGAUGAGAAAAAACCCAUGUGCUCUCCCUAAAUUUCAAGGAAAAAGAAUCUUUUCUAACCAAUUUUUACAGUUG
rnacentral:lncRNA from 1 species